AAUUGACGGGGGCCGCCUUGUACACACC
rnacentral:rRNA from 1 species